rnacentral:rRNA from 1 species
GGCCAGACUCCUACGGGAGGCAGCAGUGGGGAAUAUUGCACAAUGGGGGAAACCCUGAUGCAGCGACGCCGCGUGAGUGAGGAAGUAUUUCGGUAUGUAAAGCUCUAUCAGCAGGGAAGAAAAUGACGGUACCUGACUAAGAAGCCCCGGCUAACUACGUGCCAGCAGCCGCGGUAAUACGUAGGGGGCAAGCGUUAUCCGGAUUUACUGGGUGUAAAGGGAGCGUAGACGGCAGUGCAAGCCAGGAGUGAAAGCCCGGGGCCCAACCCCGGGACUGCUCUUGGAACUGCGUGGCUGGAGUGCAGGAGGGGCAGGCGGAAUUCCUGGUGUAGCGGUGAAAUGCGUAGAUAUCAGGAGGAACACCGGUGGCGAAGGCGGCCUGCUGGACUGCAACUGACGUUGAGGCCCGAAAGCGUGGGGAGCAAACAGGAUUAGAUACCCGCGUAAU